GGGCGGUUAGCAUAUCGGUUAGUGCUUAGUGGUGCGCACCCAAUUAAUAUAAUUGAGGUCGGUUCGAUUCCGACACUGCCCACAA
rnacentral:tRNA from 2 species